rnacentral:rRNA from 1 species
GGACACACCCGUUCCCAUUCCGAACACGGAAGUUAAGCUUCAAACCGCCGACAAUACUUGAGUGGAGACGCUCUGGGAAAAUAGGUAGUCGCCAGAU